AUGAAGAUUAAUGUUGACGGCGCGGUCACCCGCCACAAAAGAGGAGGACCAGUUUCGGCUGUCUGUAGAGACAGUCAGGGUCUAUGCCUUGGGUCCUCAUCGGUGGUGUACCCGGGAGUGACUGGCCCAGUGAUGCUCGAGACAUUCGCCUGCAGGGAAGCUCUAUCUCUUGCAGAGGAUCUUAAUCUGCAUAAGAUCACAGUUGUGUCUGACUGUCAAGGAGUGGUUUACGACAUCAACAGGGGGACGGGAAGACUCCAUGCUGCUAUAGUACAUGAAAUAAUAGGUCGUAAAAGUAGUUUUCAGUUAUGUAAUUUCAUUCAUGAGCACAAAAACUAUAACUAUGAGGCUCAUAAACUUGCCAAGUUUUCUUGUAACCUACAAUUAGGUAGACAUGUGUGGUUGGAAAAUCCUCAUGACCCAACAGUUGUAUCUAUGAACGUUGCUUUGGAAUAA
rnacentral:rRNA from 1 species